rnacentral:pre_miRNA from 1 species
UUUUGAUGAUGAUGAUGGUGAUGAUGAUGAUGACGACAAUGACGUCGUCGUCGUCAUCAUCAUCAUCACCAUCAUCAGUA